GACGAACGCUGGCGGCGUGCUUAACACAUGCAAGUCGAACGAAGAGCGAUGGAAGCUUGCUUCUAUCAAUCUUAGUGGCGAACGGGUGAGUAACGCGUAAUCAACCUGCCCUUCAGAGGGGGACAACAGUUGGAAACGACUGCUAAUACCGCAUACGAUCUAAACUCGGCAUCGAGGAUAGAUGAAAGGUGGCCUCUACAUGUAAGCUAUCACUGAAGGAGGGGAGUGCGUCUGAUUAGCUAGUUGGAGGGGUAACGGCCCACCAAGGCGAUGAUCAGUAGCCGGUCUGAGAGGAUGAACGGCCACAUUGGGACUGGGACACGGCCCAGACUCCUACGGGAGGCAGCAGUGGGGAAUCUUCCGCAAUGGACGAAAGUCUGACGGAGCAACGCCGCGUGAGUGAUGACGGCCUUCGGGUUGUAAAGCUCUGUUAAUCGGGACGAAAGGCCUUCUUGCGAAUAGUGAGAAGGAUUGACGGUACCGGAAUAGAAAGCCACGGCUAACUACGUG
rnacentral:rRNA from 1 species